UUCCGGUUGAUCCUGCCGGACCCCACUGCUAUCGGGGUGGGACUAAAACAUGCAAGUCGAGCGCCUCCAAGCUAUGGUGAAGGCGCGGCAAACGGCUCAGUAACACGUGGCCAACCUACCCUUGGGACGGAGACAACCCCGGGAAACUGGGGCUAAUCCCCGAUAGGUGAGGAAUCCUGGAAUGGACCCUCGCCCAAAAGACGUUGAGUCCAUGCUAUUCAGCGUCGCCCAAGGAUGGAGCCGCGACCGAUCAGGUAGUUGGUUGAGGUAACGGCUCACCAAGCCUAUAACCGGUACGGGCCGUGAGAGCGGGAGCCCGGAGAUGGGCACUGAGACAAGGGCCCAGGCCCUACGGGGCGCAGCAGUUGCGAAAACUCCGCAAUGCGCGAAAGCGUGACGGGGCUACCCCGAGUGCCGCCCGUUGAGGGCGGCUUUUCCACGGUGUAAGGAGCCGUGGGAAUAAGGAGAGGGCAAGACUGGUGUCAGCCGCCGCGGUAAUACCAGCUCUCCGAGUGGUGGGGACGAUUAUUGGGCUUAAAGCGUUCGUAGCCGGCUUAACAAGUCUUCCGUUAAAUCCAACGAUCUAAUCGUUGGGCUGCGGGAGAUACUGUUGGGCUAGGAGGCGGGAGAAGCCGACGGUAUUCUCGGGGUAGGGGUGAAAUCCUGUAAUCCCGGGAGGACCACCAGUGGCGAAGGCGGUCGGCUAGAACGCGCUCGACGGUGAGGGACGAAAGCUGGGGGAGCGAACCGGAUUAGAAACCCGGGUAGUCCCAGCUGUAAACGAUGCGGGCUAGUGUUGGGGUGGCCACGAGCUACUUCAGUGCCGCAUGGAAGCAAUUAAGCCCGCCGCCUGGGGAGUACGGUCGCAAGGCUGAACUUAAGGAAUUGGCGGGGAGCACACUAGCGUGAAGCUUGCGUUUAUGAUUCAACGC
rnacentral:rRNA from 1 species